GAGUUUGAUUCUGGCUCAGAACGAACGCUGGCGGUGCGUUUUAAGCAUGCAAGUCGAACGGUAAAAAGAGAGCUUGCUCUCUUUGAGAGUGGCGGACUGGUGAGUAACGCGUGGAUGAUCUACCUUUGAGAUGGGGAUAGCUUCUAGAAAUAGGAGAUAAUACCGAAUAACCUUGUUGUGUUUUGAUGUAACAAGAAAAGGGGCGUCAGCUCCGCUCGAAGAUGAGUCUGCGUCCCAUUAGCUAGUUGGUAGGGUAAAGGCUUACCAAGGCGACGAUGGGUAUCCGGCCUGAGAGGGUGAACGGACACAUUGGGACUGAGAUACGGCCCAAACUCCUACGGGAGGCAGCAGCUGAGAAUCUUCCGCAAUGGACGAAAGUCUGACGGAGCGACACCGCGUGAACGAUGAAGGCCGGAAGGUUGUAAAGUUCUUUUGCAGACAAAGAAUAAGGAUAGAAGGAAAUGACUAUCUGAUGA
rnacentral:rRNA from 1 species